ACAUGCAUAUAAAGAACAUACUCAUAUCAUCGGCCACUCCGGGAGUCAGUUGGAGGAGUUUUUCUUGCCCCUGCCCAAGAUGGCAUCCUUAGCAGACUUUAUUGUAUUUGUCACAGCAGCAGUCGUUCUACCCAAUAGUCCAUCUCCGGUGCCAGAUUCCCUGUUCUUGCGAGUAAGAUGAACCACCCCAACUUUCUCCUUUGUGGGUUCGUCAUGCCCUGCUGGUGAUCGGUAAUCUUCUGUUUCCACCUUUGUUUCUAUUGCUUCUUCGUUUACCCUUUCAGUUCCUUG
rnacentral:misc_RNA from 1 species